AGUGCAAUUGCUGGGUUGUAUGGAAGAUGUUUGUUUAGUUUUUAAAGAAACUGCCAAUUUGUUUUCCAGAGCAGCUGUACCAUUUUGCAGUCCCACCAGCAGU
rnacentral:pre_miRNA from 1 species